AAUAAGAUAGCUUUAAAGCCCUGCUCAGCUUUUGAAUGUUGGGAAUUGACCCAGAGGUGGCUGUAACCUAAGAUGGUUCCUUCAGUAAUGACCAUUUUUUCUUUUUCAAGAUGAUGAUUAUUCCCCACCUUCUAAGAGACAAAGACCAACGAGCCGCCACAGCCACCAGUCCCAGAACCCGCCAAUGCUGGGGAACGGAAAAUGAGGGAGUUCAACUCUGGCCCUCACAAUCCAGUGGAGGAGACGCAACUCAUCUGCCUCUGUCCCUCUGGGCACGCCUCGUGCCAGGUGCAUCUGUGGACAGGGGCCAUGCUCCUGGGCUUCCAAAGUUGGAGAAAGCUGCCAGGCUCAGGUCUGAAGGCCAGAAUUCUACAGUAAGUCCUACUGAGUCAAGGUGGGAGCAGGGUCGGUAGCUUCCGAGGCUCUGCGGGAGAAUCUGUUUCCUGGCCGUAGAGGUGGCCUGCACUCCUCAGCCUGUGCUGCCCGUCUCGAAUGACUGGAGUUUCCUGCUUCUGUCACUACACCUCCCACCCUCUCCAUCACCUGCUCUGCUCUUACAAGGAUCCGAGU
rnacentral:lncRNA from 10 species